AAGGCACUUUAGCAGGAAUCUGGCGGCAGAGAGGCCGAUUGAUGAGAUGCCGAGGUCUGCAGCCCCAACUGGAGGCGCCCCGGAAGAGUGAGAUGGAGUGGGGAGGGGGUGGACCGGGCAGGGGAGGAGGCAAAGAGUCUGUUUCCCUGGCCCAAGGAGGCCGAGUGGAGCCGGCCCAGAGAUGAACGCAUCUGGGAGCUGCCAAGGUGCUUUGGCUCUAGCAGACAGGAAGAAAUUCUGGCCCAGCUGGAAGUAGAAAGAGGGGAGUGAGUCUCCUGAGGACCAUCUCAGAGGCCCCGGGAUCACCCGAACAGUCCUCCAUGUGAAUCAAUCCCAUGAUGCAACAUGCCUCCCCAGCCCCCGCUCUGACGAUGAUGGCCACGCAGAAUGUCCCGCCCCCACCCUACCAGGACAGCCCACAGAUGACGGCAACCGCCCAGCCACCCUCCAAGGCCCAGG
rnacentral:lncRNA from 1 species